CAGUGGGGAAUAUUGCACAAUGGGCGCAAGCCUGAUGCAGCAACGCCGCGUGAGUGAUGAAGGCCUUCGGGUCGUAAAGCUCUGUCCUCAAGGAAGAAUAAAUGACGGUACUUGAGGAGGAAGCCCCGGCUAACUACGUGCCAGCAGCCGCGGUAAUACGUAGGGGGCAAGCGUUAUCCGGAAUCACUGGGCGUAAAGGGUGCGUAGGCGGUUUUUCAAGUCAGAAGUGAAAGGCUAUGGCUCAACCAUAGUAAGCUUUUGAAACUGUUAAACUUGAGUGCAGGAGAGGGAAAGUGGAAUUCCUAGUGUAGAGGUGAAAAUUCGUAGAUAUUAGGAGGAACACCAGUGGCGAAGGCGACUUUCUGGACCUGUAACUGACGCUGAGGCACGAAAGCGUGGGGAGCGAACGAGGAUUAAGAUACCCUGGUAGC
rnacentral:rRNA from 1 species